CGCUCCUGGAUCAGCUGAUGAGCGGAGCCGAGCGGUCGUUCGUCACCGUUGGCUUCAGCUGGACGUUGGCAAAGGGGUUUCUGCAGAGAAAGAGGAAGACAGAGUUUAGCAGGAGGGAUGGUGGCAGCAGGGGCCUGUGAGGACGGGGCACCGGCGCAGUGAGCGUCAACCUGCUGAGACCCCAAAAAGCUUUUGCUGCAGAGCCCAGGCGGCUCGGCUCGCUGCAGCAGCUGUGCGGGGUGUCCCUCGAGGGUCAGCCCAAGCCCCAGUGGGGCCGUCAGCCAGCCCAGGGCCACCAGCCCUGACCCCCCUCGGUCCAGCAGCAUUUGGGAAGGGAUUAAGCUGGAGAUGCUCUGCCCUGCAGAGCCUUGGGCCAAGCUGGCCCCGCUUUUCUGCCUCUAUCCCAGUUAAACCUAUGGUGGAUGUAAGAGAUGAGCUGGCAAGGGCGCCGCAUAUGGGAUGUUCUCCUCCAUCGCUCUGCAGCAGGCCCAAAACUGGGGCUGCCAAGGGGGCUCAGGGCUCGAGAAGCUGCUCCAGCCCCCCCUGGCUGGGCUUAAGUGGGAGCCCCCUGACAUCAGCACCGUGCCACUGUGGGAGCAGGUGGCUAUGGCUCCCUGUCUGCCAUGGGCUGCAUGGGGACCCCCCAGCCAAGCUGUGCCAGCUGAGCAGCCUGUGAAGCAGCCAAAUAUCUGGGGCAGCAGAGCCCGGGAGCGCCAGGUGAGCCGGCUGCACUGGAGCUCGGCAGGGCCACGAGAGCCAGCACAGCCCAGCUCCCGGCAGCCCACCCCCCUGAGGGAUUACCUACCUGGGGCAUCCCCAGAGCCAUUCCAGUGCCCCCAGCACCCACUGGCUAUGGCAGCGUGCUCCGUGUUCAGCCCAUGGCUGCACACAGCAUCUGCAAAUUGCACAGGUCCCACGGCUGGGACAAGGGCUGCUGUGUGGGGUGCUGUGACAUGGGGAGCACUCUUACCUGCCCUGAGGAGGUCCCCUCUGUCCCCUCCUGGCAGGACGGGCAGGAUUUAACUCCCAGAGGAUGCAGGCAGCUAUGGGGGUACCACUGACUGCCUGUGGUGCACAGUCACCCUGUGCUGUCUGCAGCCAUCAGGUCCAAACCUGCACCAGGCACAGUGGCCAAGGGAGCCACCGAGCACCCCUGCAGCCCCCUGCCCCCCUGCAGCCCCUGCCUCUCCUGCCUGCAGGCAGACAGCCCUCCCCUACCUGGCUGGCCCCAGCCCUCCCUGGGGAGCUGUGCAAACCCUCUCCUUCCUGCAGCGGUGGCAAUGGUGGUGUGCCUGCACCGGCGAGCCCUGCUCAGCCCCCAGCACUGCCACAGCUGGGUCCCACGGCUGACAGGUCUCCCCCAUGGGGCACAGCCCUGCUGUCCCCAGAGACGGGCGCAGGCGAACCGUUAGCCACACAAACAGGACCGUGGGGUUAAGCCACAUCAGGAGCAGCCGUGGUUACUGGCGACCUCCGCCUGGACCCAGGCAGCUUUGGGGACAUCCCCAACCACCUCCUGUGGGGCACGGGACAAGGCCUGGUCCCCGCAGGCCCCCUGGAAGGGCGCUCACUGCCUCCCCCCGGUCAUCCCUCGCCUCUCCACAUGUGCUUUUGCUUUCCUCAGAAGAUAAAUGGCUUUUGCUUAAAAAUAGGGUAAUUAAUUUCCCACCUAAUUAAUGCAGAUUCUUAGAUCACUUUCCCCCCCCCCAGGAUGCCAAAAUAGAUUCUCAGGACUGGAGGGAGUGGAAAGGUUGCUUUGAUGAGUCACCAGGGGUUAUUAUUUAACUAUUUUUGUUCUGGCAGACAAGAGCCAUUGGGAUGGGAGCUCGCAGCAUUGGCAGCCACAGGGAAAACAAGCUCACAAAUCAAAGAGAAACAGGAAAGGGGCUCUCCUGGGCUCUGCAAUGCCAGCGAGGAGAGGGCUGGGUCCGGUGAUGCAGCGCCUAGGCACUGGUGGGACAGCGGACACCUACAACCAAAGAAGCUGGUUAUGGGGAGCAGGGGAAGCAGCAGGAGCAGGAGGAGCAGCUCAGCGUCCCCAGGGGAAGCGUGGCCCCAGCAGGCUGCCCGGCGUGGCAGCGGUGUGAGGAGCCGUGCAGAUGCAGUGCGGUCAGACCCGGAGCUCCCGCCACCGGGAUGGGGACAAGCGGUGACUGAGGGAGGGGACGCACUCGGCCGGGUGCAGGGGGGGAAGCAGAGCGGUGGCACCGUCCCCGUGCAGCCCCACGGCCUGCCCAGCACCAGCGCACCCAGGGCUCAGCCCCCCCCACCAGACCAUCAACUUACUAACUACGGACAGGGGCACCUCAAAACCUGGCCACUUCAACAUCGGGGCUGCAAGGGAAAGAGAAGGCAGGUUGGAGGACACCGGGAUGCGCUCCGACCCCUUGACGGGAACAGAAGGUGUUGGUUAAGGAGACACGAGGUUUGGCUUUUGAUGUGAGCACCCAUCGGCUGCACUGCACACAGCACCUCCGGGCAGAGGAAGCAGGAAGAAAAAGAAGAAAAAGGAGGAAAAGUCAUGUUUAUCGAGUCACUGGUGCUGCCCGCCGGCUCCCUGCAAGGAGGGGAAGGAAGGGCACGGCCACAGCCGGGGCGCCGGGAGCCACCUGCAGAGGGGAGAGGCCAGGCACGGCAGGGGCUACGGAAGGGAGGCGGGGGGCUUCCUUCCCCCUGCCCCAGCCAUCGCAGCUUUCCCACCACCGCCAGGAUGGGAAAGCGCAGCCGUGGCAUGCGGCAGCAUCCCCUCCAGCCACACACACAGGAGGGACCCGGCCCUUAAACAGUUUUAGCUGCUCCCGCUCAGCAAAGCUGUUUAAAGCCUUCAGGGGCUGAGCACAGGCAGGCAGCACCCAGCAUCUCCGACAGCCACCAAAUGCCAAGGGGAUGGAGAACAGACAAAAAAAAAAAAAAAAAAAAAAAGGAAAAAACCCCCAACAAA